rnacentral:rRNA from 1 species
GAUCCUGGCUCAGGAUGAACGCUAGCUACAGGCUUAACACAUGCAAGUCGAGGGGAAACGACAUCGAAAGCUUGCUUCCGAUGGGCGUCGACCGGCGCACGGGUGAGUAACGCGUAUCCAACCUGCCCACCACUUGGGGAUAACCUUGCGAAAGUAAGACUAAUGCCCAAUGACAUCCCACGAAGGCAUCCGAAUGGGAUUAAAGAUUUAUCGGUGAUGGAUGGGGAUGCGUCUGAUUAG